rnacentral:rRNA from 1 species
UACGUAGGGUGCAAGCGUUGUCCGGGAAUUUAUUGGGCGUAAAGAGCUCGUAGGCGGUUUGUCGCGUCUGCUGUGAAAACUCGGGGCUUAACCCCGGGCCUGCAGUGGGUACGGGCAGACUAGAGUGCGGGAAGGGAGAGUGGAAUUCCUGGUGUAGCGGUGAAAUGCGUAGAUAUCAGGAGGAACACCGGGUGGUGUAGACGGCUCUCUGGACCGUAACUGACGCUAGACACGAAAGCGUGGGUAGCAAACAGG